UGGGUAGUUAGCUCAGUGGAAGAGCACUCUCCUCACACGUGAGUGGUCGCAGGUUCGAGUCCUGUACUACCCAA
rnacentral:tRNA from 1 species